CAAGAAACUGCAUUAAAAGCUUUUGGAGAGUUGGCACCUAGCACUGCAUUCUAGGCUUUGAAGUCAACAGCAGGCAAAGUGCCAUAUGAUGACCAUCUCUGACAGACGCAGAGCAUUAAAAUGUGAUGUAGCUUAAAGACUGAAGAAUACUAAAUGUUAAAAGCUCUAUUUUAAUAAUCCCAUUGUUAGGCAAGCCUGUGCCUUUCAUUUUGAAAUUGGGUCAUUGUUUUCUUGUGAUAUCUCUUACUGUCCUCUCUUAGAGAUUCUCAUAAUGUCCUGUUGUUCCUUAGCCCUUUUGACAUGCUGCAAAAUAUGCAUACCUUUAUGGCAUACUUCUUUCUUGUGAAACCAUUGCCCACACCUUUUUCCCAACAUGUUAAGCAGAUUGAUAUGUGCGAUUCUUCUAGCACUGGGAUUAACAUUUUUUUGUCUUUUGACAGUUUGAUGC